UACGGAGGGUGCGAGCGUUAAUCGGAAUUACUGGGCGUAAAGCGCGCGUAGGUGGUUUGGUAAGCUGGAUGUGAAAGCCCUGGGCUCAACCUGGGAACUGCGUCCAGAACUGCCAAGCUAGAGUAUGGUAGAGGGCAGUGGAAUUUCCUGUGUAGCGGUGAAAUGCGUAGAUAUAGGAAGGAACACCAGUGGCGAAGGCGACUACCUGGACUGAUACUGACACUGAGGUGCGAAAGCGUGGGGAGCAAACAGGAUUAGAAACCC
rnacentral:rRNA from 1 species